ACUCCCUGGCAAUGAUCAAAGAGACACCUUGUUGGUGGUGGUGUUCUUAUAACAGUCAGGGGAAGAGCAAAUGACGGUCCUUUGUUUAUCCUACCUUGAUGCCUGGCUUGGUGGCCAAAGCUGUCUUAUGUCUAGGAUUCAUAA
ensembl:snoRNA